rnacentral:rRNA from 1 species
AUUGAACGCUGGCGGCAUGCCUAACACAUGCAAGUCGAGCGGAGUGGCGGACGGGUAAGGAAUGCCAAGGAAUCUGCCUGGUAGUGGGGGAUAACGUCCGGAAACGGGCGCUGAUACCGCAUACUAUCAGUUGAUCCUUGGUCGGGUGACCUAGUUGGGGGGGUAGAGGCCUACCAUGGCGACGAUCCGGAACUGGUCUGAGAGGAUGAUCAGUCAAACUGGAACUGGGCCACGGUCAAGACUCCUACGGGAGGCAGCAGUGGGGAAGUUUGGACAAUGGGCGAAAGCCUGAUCUGGCCAGGCGGCGUGGGUGAAGAAGGUCUGCGGAUGGUAAAGCCCUUUAAGUUGGGAGGCGUUACCAACAGAAUAAGCACCGGCUAACUUCGUGCCAGCAGCCGCGGUAAUUC